rnacentral:lncRNA from 1 species
UCAAAAUCCACAUACCCCAGCAAACCCACGUAAUUACGGUUUCCACUAUUGUCGUCUUUUUCCUCAAUAUACCUUUGCCUGCAAAUUCUUUUUCCCCAAAAUUAAUUCCCUCCCUUGCCGUCUUCCGCUCUUCAAAUUGCCUCCAAAAUUUUCCCCAAAAAUAUUCAUUCGCUCUGUUUGCCGUUUCUUAAUUGGCUCAAACCUAAUUCAAAAUUUUCACUUGAAGCAUUAUCUCGUCAACUAACUAUGGCUUAAUCAACAGAUUUUAGUGUUAUUCUUCAAACAAUUUUCUAGGUAUGCCCAUCAAUCCUAUCUAUUUUUUUUUUUGGUUUAAACAGGUGAAUUUACUUCAUUCUAUAUGCGCACAUCUCAAUUGUUAGGUAUACUCAUUCUUGACCACUUUUAAAUGAGAUCGGUAUUUGGUUGGUGUGCAAGGGGAAUAUAGUAGCCCGUGAACUUGCUUCUUUCGUGUGCAAGAAAUUUAGGUCUCUCACAUUGUCUGCUAAUAUCUUAUGUUGCAGAUGCACAAAAAUUUAUUUGUCUUUGAAAGGAAAGUGAUUAUACCUCUUGAUAUAUGUUGCUACAGAAUCAUAGAAGUUAUGUGGUUAAGUGAAAAGAAGAUUAGCUAAUUGCCGUUUCAGUUUGUCUACCUAAUGAGAUUUGGUUUUGAGAAGUAGCAAAACAAUAGGCUAAAAAGCUUUCCGUGUAGGAAGCCUCGGUUAGAGACAAGUAAUAAUAUGGGGAUUGAUCUAAUUUAUUUAAGGUUUUGGGAGGUCGAUAAGGAGAUGUUCAUUAACCGUUGCACAUGUUGAAAAUUUGCUUGGUAAGGUCUGUAGGAGAAAAUUGGUUGGACUUAUAUCUGAGACGUGGGAACUAAAGUUUGGAGAAGGAGUUGGAAGCAGAACGUGUUACUCGUAAGGUAGCCAAUGCGGCUCGAGUAAACAUGGAACAAAAUAUGCAAAACAAGCUAAAGUUCGUCGAACAACAAUUCAAUUCUACAUAAAAAUAUUGGCAUCAUUCUAGUUAUGUGGUAAAGCUUCGGCUUCAUUGUACCACCAUUUAUACCAUUGUCAAUAGAGAAUGAUGGUAAUGAGAGCGAUUAUGCCAUUGAGGAUGAAGAGAAUAACUUAGGUGAGAAUCAGUGCAUGUCUAAUUCACGAGACUGAAGAGUCAUGUUUUUUAUUUGUAUAAAAAUAGAUAUAUAGCAUGUUUGCUUUGCUUAUUUUAACUUUAGAUGUAAUCGUACUUGGUGAAACUCAUUUAUUCGUGCUUUGAUGAAAUAUUUUGGAUUCAAUGUUAAUUGACAUUACGUUUUAAUUGAUUUAUUAUGAUUUUGUAUUUUUAUAUUAUUUUGAAUGAGGUUAAAAAAAAUUAGUAUAAUAUAAAUUAAAAAAAAUAUAUAGAAAAUAGUUUAACUUCUCCCUACAGAUUCUUUUUUAAUAGCCUACAAAUAUCCUUUCCUCACUAAAAAUUAUUUACAGAAAAAUAGGGUUCAGCCCACAAAAUAAUUUGUUCCAAAUUGUCACAAACUUCUAAUUGUAGGAAAAGAUGUUUAUAUCUUGGCCCACAAAUAAAUUUUUCAUACAAAAUAUUAUUUGUGGGGACAAACAUGAUUUAGCUCACAAGAUAAUUUGUAGAGACAAGUGAAAUCACUUCAUGUGUAGAAGUAACUUUAGCAGACGAAUUAUUUUGUCGGAGGAAAACUUAUGCAACGAAUUGUAUUCAUCUCCAAAAGGGCUCGUAGGUAAAACCUUAGCCCACAAACUUCAAAAAUUUGUCGUCUUAUACCUAUCUCCUCGAUGUUUGCCCUACAAACGUGCUUACAAAUUUUUUUUCCUCUGCAAAGGCAUUUCCUACAAAUAAGAGCAUUUUCCCACAAAUAAAUUUUAUAGAAAAACAUAAAAUUCUUGUAGUGAAUUGCAUUAGGGGUUUUUUGGAACUGGAUCGUGAUGGAUAAUAAUUGGGCAGUGCUGAGUUUAUUUCAGCUGGAAAUAUGAAAUGUUUCGUAUCGAACUCGACCCAACAAACCUACCAUCUUCUAGAGGUAAAGCCCAAUAAGGUCUAUGUGGGCCCAGUGCAGGCAUAGGCCCACAUUGAACUUUCGGGCCCAACCCAAUUCUUCUCUUUCUUUUUUUUUUCCCAUUUACCAGCCCAAUAAAAAAAAAAAUAUUGAAACAAAAAGAUAUAACCUGACCCAACUCCAAAUCCAUUUAAUUCAAUAUCAUCUCUCAACAUUGAAGGUCGAAGGAGAUCCCAAAUCAGCGAAUCCAAACCUGAUGGCUGAAACCACAUCAUUUUUCCUUUAUUAUGAUUUUCUAGUUAGGUUUUAAAGAGACAUUCUUAUUCUUUGUGUAACGAAUGUUUAUAAUCUACAAGCC